UACGUAGGGGGCAAGCGUUGUCCGGAUUUAUUGGGCGUAAAGAGCGUGUAGGCGGCCAGAUAGGUCUGUUGUGAAAAACUCGAGGCUCAACCUCGAGACGCCGAUGGAAACCAUUUGGCUAGAGUCCGGAAGAGAAGAGUGGAAUUCCUGGUGUAGCGGUGAAAUGCGCAGAUAUCAGGAAGAACACCCGUGGCUAAGGCGGCUCUCUAGUACGGUACUGACGCUGAGACGCGAAAAGCGUGGGGAGCGAACAGG
rnacentral:rRNA from 1 species